GUGUUUGCUUCCGCAGCAGCACAUAUACUAAAAUUGGAACAAAACAGAGAAGAUUAACAUGGCCUCUGCACAAGGAUGACACAUAUCCGUAAAGCGUUCCAUAUUUUU